GGCCCAGUAGCUCAGUGGUAGAGCACUGCACAGGAAAGGCAGGAGGCGCAAGUUCAAUCCCUGGCUUUGGCCG